AAAGAAAAAAAAAUGGGGCAAGCUUGUCCUGCCAGGAGAGGAUGACUGGGACUAACCAACUGAGGAAACACUGUGUUUUCAUCUCCCAUGUAAUUCCCAAAUAGGACCUGUGUUUGAGCAGCAUGGCACCAUUUAUAUAAUUUUUUCUCUCUCUAGCUCAUGUAGGAUAAUUUGAGUUAAGUCCACUUACGAUGAAACGCCACUGUUGAUGGAAAAUAUUUUCUCUUGAGUGUCAUGCUUCUUAAUAUUUGGAUUUGAAUACAUUUGCUCGGUUUAACCAGAUUCUGUUUCAACUAGUCCCACCGAAACCAGGGUUUUCACUCAGUUAUGUUACACUGUACUAGAGUAUUAUGGCUCUACAUGUCUAAACAUCUUCAAUUGGAAUUUUGAAACAGAGCAAUGGGGCAUGAAUCCUGAGCUUUGUCAUUUAUUUAUGACUUGAGAAGCUCUCUGGAUACCAUGUGUAUCUCAAAGGAAACGGAGAGUGGCCUUGGCCUGUGGAGCUCUGACUCUCAAUCCCAUGCUCCUUUCUGUAUGUAUCUCUAGGAUCUGAGCGGAUGCCUGAAGGACCACACCUGAGCUUUGGCAAAGUAUUUUAUCACUGGGUUUUGCUACCUUGUUUUGUGAUGUCACAAGAGAAAACUCAAUUUAGGCUGAGGCUGAGCCCAGAUCAAUAUGGAGCUACCUGUGCCCCUGCCCUGUUCUUGCCCUGGGUCAUCCUGCACUCAGUGUUGACUUUGUGGCAUCUACUGAAAUACUUUCAGAAGGCAGAUACAUGGUUGAUGGAGCUGGGGUUGCCUGUCUCACUGACAGAAUGGUCAGAAUUCAGCCACUUAGAACCAGCAACUAGCCUACUUUUACUUGCUUUAAAAGGAAUCAAGACUCUUUGGGCUUCCAUGGAAAUAAGAUUUGUACCAUAUGUCUAAGUUGUGCAUGCCAAGGAUAAUGGAAACAAGACUGGCGAGGGGAGGCAUGGGUAGGACUUAAAAAUUCCAGAGGUCUGCAAAGGUUUCUUCUCAGGAUAUAUGAAAAACCAUCACAUAUCAUGCUGAAAUCAAGAUAAUAAUACCCUAUACCUGCUUUAAGGCCCAGCAAUUCCACUUCUAUGUAUUUAUCCAGGAGAAAUAAAAACACGUCUACUAAAAGACUCAUACAAGAAUGUUUAUGGAAACCAUAUUCACAAUAACCCCAAGCUGGAAAUGACCCAUAUGUCCAUUAAUAAGAGAACAGAUCAACAAAAUGUGGUAUAUGCAUACAAGGGGAUACUCCUCAGGAAUAAAAAAGGAACAAACUACUGCAUUGCCCUACACAGGGGAUUUCUACUCUUCCUUUACAAAGCUGGUUUCUUCCAAACAUUAAGAUCUCUUACAGGGACUGAAUGAUAAAUGGAUGAAUGAGGAGGAUGAUGAAGGGGGAAGGUGAUGGAAGAAUUAGGACAAGGAGGCUAUGCAGGAGAUUGGUAAGCAAUGAGCUAAGAAGGCUUUGAGACCUAUUGAGAGAUUCUAAACUCCUGGAUGGGCCUAUCUGCAUUUUGUCUGCAAAGCAAUGGUAACUAGAAAAUUGGGCUGGGCGUGGUGGCUCACGCGUGUAAUCUCAGCACCUUGGGAGGCUGAGGGGGG
rnacentral:lncRNA from 1 species